rnacentral:rRNA from 1 species
UGGGGAAUAUUGCGCAAUGGAGGAAACUCUGACGCAGCAACGCCGCGUGAGUGAAGAAGGUUUUCGGAUCGUAAAGCUCUGUCUUUGGGGACGAACAAAAUGACGGUACCCAAGGAGGAAGCACCGGCUAACUACGUGCCAGCAGCCGCGGUAAUACGUAGGGGGCAAGCGUUGUCCGGAAUCACUGGGCGUAAAGAGCCCGUAGGCGGUCUAGUAAGUUAGAUGUGAAAGUUGGCAGCUUAACUGUAAAAGUGCAGCUAAUACUGGCAGACUUGAGUCUCGGAGAGGUAAGCGGAAUUCCUAGUGUAGCGGUGAAAUGCGUAGAGAUUAGGAAGAACACCGGCGGCGAAGGCGGCUUACUGGACGAGUACUGACGCUCAGGUGCGAAAGCGUGGGGAGCAAACA